rnacentral:tRNA from 1 species
AAAAAGAUAAGCUAAAUUAAGCUUUUGGACUCAUACUCCAACGAUAGUACAAUACUUCUUUUUA